UCCCGAAAUAGUGAAAGGGGAUAACUUUUUGGAAGAGAGCGGAUAAAAACAAUCUAAAACCUCCGAAUACUAUCAAUUUUGCUUAGGAGUGAGGGUUAGGGCGUUAAGAUCCUAACCCGAGAGGGAAAGAACCCAGAUCAUCAGCUAAGGUCCCCAAAUAUAUUCUAAGUUGAACUAAGAAGGUUCAGUCGCUUAGACAGUCAGGAUGUUGGCUUGGAAGCAGCCAUUCAUUUGAAGAGUGCGUAAAUUUCCACGUUUCGGGUUGAAAACUAUUUUUUUCGUUUAACCUUUACCUAAAUAAUAUUUUAUUUUUUAGUUGUUAUGCAGGGA
rnacentral:ncRNA from 1 species